CACAAACAACAUGGUGGAUCAGCUGUUUUCGUUUUUCUCGGACUUUAAUUUGUUUUCGUAAAAACGCCGAAUGUUAUGGUCCCCUAACCAUGUGUGAAUUAAAAUGGGCUCAAUCGCAUCGGUGCUGCAAUGGCAUUGUCAGACUUGCGGCCAGAUCAAUCCUACGGAAAGUGUUAAGUGCCUAAGAUGUGGUUUAAAGAGAGUAUCAAGUCAUGACAGUGGCCCUCCGAAGCAAUAUUUUGGAGAAGAUUCUUCGCCGGAAUACGGUUCUAGGACUGGAAAAAGCGAGGGAACUACUCCUGGCUCGGAACCGAUUGCGAUCCCGUCAACAAACAACCUUAAUCGCGGAUGGUCGUGCGUGGGGUCUGCGCCGGACGCGAGUCGUGCGUGGCGCUGCGCGUGCGGCCUGCGCAACGUGUCUGCGGCGUGGCGCUGCGCCGCCUGUGACGCGCUCGCUCCGCACGCGCCUGUCUAUAAAUUGUCGGAUGAUGAAGACCAAGCUACAGGAAUGACGGAGAAAGAUAAGUCUGCCAAAGAUAACACUAUGAUAAGAUCCAACACCUUGGCAGUCCCGUCGUAUAAGCCUUCAGCCAGUUAUUCUGGAGGUCGCCGUCUAAACCUGCAGCUUCAAUCAUUGCGCUUGUCUCCAACUCAGAUAACCGACCAGGCACAUGGAGUAACCAGGUCCCUUUCCCACGGCUCGGUCAUAAACUCCCAACAGCAGUGGUGGAAUGUUGAAGAGAACCGCGGAACCAUCAAUCGGCCGAACAGUCUCAUGGUCUCUGAGAGAUACGGGUAUUCAAACGCCUAUAAUCCAAGGGAGUCUUUCCUAAGAAGUUUGCAUACCGUGACGCGAAAACCCAAAAAGUGCAGUGAGAGUAAAUCUAAUUGGGAACUGAAUUACGUCAAGGAAUACCAAAAAGAACAAAGUAAAGCUCUGCAUUUGAAGAAGUGGGCUUGCAGUAAAUGUACUUUGGAGAAUUCAGGGAUCAGGACUCAUUGUGAAGCUUGUCUGUCGCCUAGAGUGUCGCAGUUGUCAAGGAUUCCUAAUACAAGAGGACUUAGCGUGACCACUUUGGGUAGACAUGACACUAUAAGUGGUCGUGAUGGCGCCACAUCUCUCCCAUCGUCUGGGGGUGUGAUGAUCACAGUUCCGGAUUGGCAAAGCGGGAGUAUAACCCUCGGGCCUUCAUUUCGUCGCUCCAUCAGCGCACAGAAUUCGCCAGAAAUCCGACCAACUUAUCGACGGUCGUUUUCUGAGCACACCAACGCUGAUAGCCGACCUGGUGGCAAGGUUGUCUCAAGUAGGAGAAGCUUGAUCGACUACCAGAAAACUUUGGGCAGCUACGUGAGUUUAAGACCUGAUGCUAAAGCGGAUUUGGAUAAGAAAAUAGACGAAUCAAGUGCGGAGUUGAUCGACAAAGAAUGCAGUUGGGACACCAACGCUGAAGGGGUGAUAUACGCUUUGCCAAACAAGGGGAAGUAUAAAGACUUGAACUUGCAAUUACAAGUGAACAAUAACGGGACGAGGUAUUCUUACGUUUCGGUUCAGGAUACAAAGAACGUCAUGAGUAACUCACAGAAUGAAGCUUUAUAUUCUAACGAUGGGGAGGACGAUUAUGCAAGGAUCGAUGAGUUAUUGGGUGCGGAGAACCUUCUGGCUCCCACAGUGAGUGAAGCUAGCAAUAUAAGGACUUCUCAUAUUGGUGCAGUGCCGAGGGACUCUAAAGUGUACAAUAUGUUGCCGUCUGUCGGGAAAGUGUCGCAGAGGGAGAAAAUGCCGCUGGUGCAGCAUGCGCCCACUCGCGACCACCGAAUGUGGCAGUGCACGGAGUGUUGGUACGCGUACAACCCGUGGUGGGGGCGCUCGUGCGACAUAUGUGGCCAGCCGCGGCCGCCGCACGCGUGUGUCACGCUCUCGCGCGAUGUGUGUGACGCGCCCACGUCCAGCGGCCACAGUUCUCGUCCGGGUCCGUCGUUACUAGAAGCGGGCAGCAGCAAAUCUGGCGACGUGGCUCGCGCUGAACACAAGAAACUGACAGUACCAAUCGCGUCGCUCGACCACGACUUGAAUAGCGAUGAACUGCUGUUUGCUGUUGACUCAACUCCAACGCCCGUUGCAUCAUCAGCCCCAACAUGGUCGUGUGGCCGCUGUACUCUAGUAAAUGAACCUACCGCGGCCGCGUGCGCCGCAUGCGCAGCGUCCCGGCCGUCGCCGCCGCACUUCUGGUCGUGCAGCUCGUGCACGCUAAGGAACCCAGUGUCGGCGAACCUCUGCCUCGCCUGCAAGACGCCCCCGGUACCCAAACACGGAGUGCCCAGCUCCUCUACAGAAGCUAAUCAUGGUGCCACCGGGCGAAGUCCAUCACCAAGAAGAAGUACGAAGCAUACUCCUGCUUUACCCCGACGCGCUGCCCGACUCAAGACCCCUCCGCCCGACCCUAAGCCGGAUACAUCGGAGUGGGCUUGUUCAGAGUGCACGUAUAUGAACGCAGCUGGCACGUUGGUUUGUGAGAUGUGUCAGUCGCCGCGUACAAGACUUCUGCCGGCCGCGCCGCACCAGCCCACUUUAGACGACGAUGAGUCACCGGAGGGGUCAGACGGGGAACGCCAGGAGAGUACGCCGAUGGAAAUACUGCGUUUGAGGGAGGAGAGCCAUGCGUGGACGCAGUGGCAGGAAGUGUUGGCCCAGUGCGCAGCUACCGGCGAGCCGUUCGUGGACGAGUCAUUCCCCGCGGCGCCGCGCUCGCUAUACUACGGGGGGUGCGCAGAGCUGGGCGCGGCGGCGCGCUGGCUGCGGCCGCACCAGAUCCACGUGGACGCUGACCACAGGCUGCCCUGGCUCGUGUUCCGGGAGCCGCGCCCCUCCGACAUAUCGCAAGGUGUUCUAGGCAACUGCUGGUUGCUAUCAGCGCUAGCAGUGUUAGCGGAGCGUUCAGCACUUGUCCGGGGGGUGAUAGUCCGAGGGGAGCCAAGUGUGGGCGCGUACCAGCUGCGGCUGUGUAAAGAUGGCCGCUGGUUGACGGUGACGGUCGAUGACCUCCUGCCUUGCAAUAAGAAGGGACAUCUUGUUUACUCACAGGCGAAAAGAAAACAAUUAUGGGUGCCUUUGAUCGAGAAAGCGGUCGCUAAACUACAUGGGUGCUAUGAAGCUUUAGUUUCUGGUAGAGCCAUUGAAGGUCUUUGCACAUUAACCGGCGCCCCGUGCGAGUCAGUGUCCCUGCAAGCGGGCACGCAAGGUGGGGGCUCCGGGGGCGGCACGGGAGCCCCGCUAGAGCAGCUGGAUCGCGACCUGGUGUGGGCGCAGCUGCUGUCCUCCCGGCAGGCCUGCUUCCUCAUGGGCGCCAGCUGCGGCGGUGGGAACAUGAAGGUGGACGAAGACGAAUACCAGCGUCUAGGGCUGCGUCCGCGGCACGCGUACUCCGUGCUGGACGUGGUGGAGAUCGCGGGCCCCACGCGCCUGCUGCGCCUGCGCAACCCGUGGGGGCACUACACGUGGCGCGGCGCCUGGGCGCACGCCUGCCAGCGGUGGACCGACGACGCCAAGCGGGCCGUGGCCGCCGUCGCCAUCAACGCCGACGCCGAUAGGGACCAGGGCGUGUUCUGGAUCAGCUUCGACGAUGUUCUCAAAUACUUCGACUGCAUAGACAUUUGCAAGGUGCGAGUGGGAUGGCACGAGGUUCGCCUGGCCGGUAUACUGCCGCCCAUGUCUUCAACAAGACAUUUGACUUGCCUCUUGCUGACUGCCACACAGCCUACCGAGGUGGACUUCACACUAUUUCAAGAAGGACAGAGGAAUUCGGCGAAGAGUCAGCGAUCCCAACUGGACCUGUGCGUUGUCGUGUUCAGGACCAAGUCGGGGCCGGGUGCGCAGAUCGGCAAACUUGUCGCGCAUAGUAAAAGACAAGUUCGCGGCUUCGUCGGUUGCCAUAAGAUGCUGGAAAAGGGCUUCUACCUCGUGGUAUGUCUGGCAUUCAAUCACUGGCAUACUGGCUUAGAGCUGGCCGAUAGUUCAGCUUGGCCGCGCCAUGUCCUGGCCGCCCAUUCGUCGAAGCCUCUGGCGGUGGAACGUCCGCCACUGCAUCCUCACAUACUGGCGGAUGCGAUUAUUGGCUUGACGCUGGCUAGAGGACAACGCCAUGAAGGCAGGCAAGGGAUGACUGCCUACUAUUUGACCAAGGGUUGGGCCGGCCUUGUGGUAAUGGUGGAGAAUCGCCACACGGACAAGUGGAUACACGUCAAAUGUGACUGCCAGGAGAGCUACAAUGUCGUCUCUACGAGGGGCGAGCUGAAAACCAUUGAUUCUGUUCCGCCGUUGCAUAGGCAAGUGAUAAUAGUGCUAACUCAACUCGAAGGCAGCGGUGGUUUCUCGAUAGCCCACCGGCUGACACACCGCCUGGCCGCCGGCGCCCGCCUGCAGGACUGGGCCCCCAACGCCGACGACGAGCCGCGGCACCGCCCGCCCCUCGCACGCAGGCUCUACGGCCUUCACGCGCCGCGACUGAUCACAUAGAACACAACUGCAGGCCUAAAGCGGUAAGGAAGGGACAGAGAAGUACAUCCAGCAAGAUGAACUGAGUACCCACACGCCUCACCGAGCUUUCUGUUAGAUCAACGUGAUAGUUGGCGAGCCGUAUCGCCGUCUAUAAUGGCUGAGGCAACUGUGUUAGUGAAAAUUGCACUUACAAUAAAUUGAUGACAUUGACAUUGGUGCAAGUCCGGUACUGGGUUUCGAACCGACGCUUUCUAAUUAAGAAACAAGUCAGUGUAUCACAGUGACUAAUAGUGACGGAACACUCGGACUUCCCUGCAUUGAGUUUACACUUAAUUUACACUAUUACACGUUUUAAGUUUUAUUUGAAAGACUUAGACCUACAUAAGUAAUAAAAAUAGAGAUAAAGAAGUUUGGGCAAGGAAUGAAACGACUUAAGAACGAUUAAAAGGAUUUUUUCAUAUGGAAUGUUAUAUUGAAGUGUGUAAAUAUGAGGCUUUUAGAGUAGGCACAAGUGUCAUAUUGUAGUAUAUUAAGCUUUUCGUUUUUAUGUUGAAAAGUGAAAAUAUAUUGUGGAAUGGAUUUUCAAGUUUUUGUUUUUGACUUUGUAUAGAACAUUGUAUGUUUUUAUACUUAGUUCAAUACUAAUUUCUGUAAAGUGUAAAAACUCGCGAAAGAUUUGAAUAUGCAUUCUACAUUUGUCACAUUAAAAUGUCAUCAUAUCGAUUUCUCUAUUAACUUUGAUUGGCCGACGAAAGUUCGUAUUUUAGCUAGAAUUAUAAGUUUUAUAACUAACGCGAAAUUUGUGCUAAAAUUAUAUAUUUUUAUUUGCAACUCCUAAAAGACAAAUUCGAAUUUAUGUUUAACGGAAUUUAUGUUCCAUUCCAAUAAUACUCAUUAUGUUAAGUUAUUUAAUGAAUUAAUUUUAUAUUUAUACUUAUAUUUUGAUUGUUUUAAGAGUGAUAUUAAAUCUUGCCAUUAAGUUUGCUUUACAACGAUAUACUUAUGUUCAAGCCUACGGAGUACGGUACUACUCGCGGAUCAGACCAACUUUUAGUGGUCAGUUCUACAAAUGUUCGGGUCAGUACCCACUUGUCCCCUAAAAUUUGUCCCCCUGGAAUAAAAGUUGUAGAUUCUGCCCCUAUUUAGGUAUCCAUUGGUCCCCUGGUAGGAGACCAAUCAAUAUUUAAAUAUUUCGCUGGAGUCGCGUCACAUUACAAACUUCAAUGCUUUCAUAUUUGUGGACACCUUUAUGCAGGAGGACUUCUGUCCGAAGGGAGUGGUGUAUCGCCGUUUCCGUGGUAGACUGCCACCAUUUCUUCCAGUGCAGUUCCAGUUUCUCUCUCUCCAGUGCUUAGGGGACAAAUAAAUAAUAUUAAUUUAUUUUUAAGGUACCCACUCGUACCCUGGUAUAUAAGUUACAGAUACGGCACCCGCUCAGGUGUCAUUUAGGGGACGAAUGGGAACCUUAAGUAUUUGAGGGACGAGUGGGCACAGGGGACGAAUUUCGGGGACCAAUGAGUAUUGACCCGUUCAUUGCCUAGUGUAUGUUGUACGCACUCGUCGAGCCGCAAGCGGUCUCGCGGAGCGGACCAUCUUACACUGGGCAACGAAGAAGUCUGUGCAAUUAUCCAGUAUAGAUUGGUCUUACCCGCGCGAGAUUCAGCGUACGCGCUUAGAUAUUGUUGUAAGUAUUCCAUUUUUACCUAAUUCUACAAGUGUACAAAUGUAAGCGACACCGUUUGAAUACGUUUCUUCGAACGUUGUUUUCUCGUGUAUUUUGUAUAUUUUUCGAGAUACCUUUUAAAAUAAUUUUGACAGUGACAGCUGUCAAGUUUGGUACGGGCUUUGAUUUAUUUUGCUAUGUCUUUUGCAAAUAGCAUGGUGCGUAGGAUCGCUGUCACACUCCGGACAAUGCAUACGAAAAUAUAACAUACGAAUAUAUUUUUUAUUAUUAUAGUUUCCUAGGUCAAAGAUAAAUUAUGAAAUUCUGAUUACUAAAUAAAGGCAGAUGGAAAGGUGACAAAAAACGUUUUCAUUUUCUAUUUAACUUAUUUAUCAUUUCUACGAAACAAAAAUGUAAUUUUAAGUGCGACAUUUUGUGACGUUUUUCUAUGACGUCACAGGGUGCUUUUUCAUACAAAUUCCAUAGUAAUUUCGUGUUAUGUCGUUUAGUAAAGUAACUGAUUUGACUAGUUGGAAACUAGCCUAUUCUUACCGUGUGCAACGUAACGAGAAACCGCUCCCCUUAUACACCUUAGCGGCUUAUGACCAUUUAAGACUAAAGUAAAAAUAAAAAACCCAAAGGGGGUGAGGUCGACGCCCGAUACGAAUUGGCGGGCCGGGGGGGAGUUACCGUUCUUUACGCCGCUGUCAGAAUAGCAUAUUUUCUUGUUUCUUUCGCACUAGGAUAUACCGUAUCUUUGUCCUUCCCUCGUACGCACCAUGCCAGAGCUUAUAUAGUGUAAUAGUUUAGAAAAUCCAGUAUUUUUGAGGCCUACAAGGUAAUAAUAAUAAAGUGAAAAAGCGUGCAAUAUGUUCGACGUGAAUUAUUUUUUAUUAUUAUAUUUUUUAAUAUGUAUUUUAUUAUUAAUAAUAGUGGAUGUCUGAGCGGUGGCACUAACUUAUGUUUACUCGAAAAUCCAUCCCAGCCAUUUGCAAAAAAAAAAAAUCAGACUACCCGCAAUUAAUUUUCAGGCACAAAGUAUGCACUGUGUUAAAAUAAUGUAGAUAUUAGUGGACAUAAUCAAUAGAAUAUUUUUAUGUGUGCAAUUGAGUAUACUUUUUACUUCACACGAGUCCGACUCACCCUUGACUGUUUGACCGUCAAAAUCUCAAUAUGUUUAAAAGAGUUCGUAAGGAGUCAAAUAUUUAGAUUUUACUCAAUCGACAGAAUUUUUAAUAGUUAUCAUUAAAACAGGAAAACGUUUCUACAACGAUUCGAUAGUUAAUUUUGUUAAAAUUUAGUUUAUUUAUUUCUUCGAAUACUAAAAACAUUGGCCCCGAUUCCAACUGACAGAAAUUUCUGCCUGAAAUUGAAGAGUGUUCCAUAAAUUUUAUGCCUUUCUUUUUCAGGGUAUAAGAAUUAAUGGAACACACGUCAAUUUUAGGUAGAAAUUUAAAAACCGUCCCAAGAUUUUAUAUUGGCCAAUAACCUGACAGAAUUAAAUUGACAGCCCAAGUCAAACGGGUUGCAUAUCAGCGAUUUUAAAAUUAACCAUUGUCAAUCAUCCGUCCCUUUCCUUUUCGGCGGAUAAGAAAAUUACGUGUAUAACUUGGAAUAAAAUUAGAAGGGGUCUGCAGGAAUCGAGGCCAUUAUUUUACUUAGUUACUAACAUAAAAAGCACUAGCUUCCGAAAUAAAAUAUUUGAAUUUGAAUUUAAUUUUUAUGUAACUUUUAAGAGUUUUUCUUAAAUAUUCGGUGUUUUGUGUCGCACAAAUAUAUGUUCACAUGUGACCCUGUAUGAAAGUUCACGGUAGCACUUAUCGAUGUAUCUCAAAGUUGUAUAAAAGUGUACACAAAUUCAAGCUUUUAUAAGAAACUGUCUGUCAAUAAUACUUUUGUGUAAUUUUCUUUCUAGGUUUGUAAGUAGUUCGCUAUUUUAGUGCCAUAAAUUAAUUAAUGAAAGAAGAUUUGACUGAAACUCUGUUCCUUAUUCAAAGAGAGACAUUUAAUAUGUUAGUAGUUAGUAAACUACAGUAUGUUUCGGAUUUGACUUAACCUGUAUUGGGAUGGAUGUCCCUUCGCGGGUUGGAAGGUCAGACAGUCGCUUCUGUAAAAAA
rnacentral:misc_RNA from 1 species